rnacentral:rRNA from 1 species
CCUACGGGAGGCAGCAGUGAGGAAUAUUGGUCAAUGGGCGCGAGCCUGAACCAGCCAAGUCGCGUGAGGGAUGAAGGUUCUAUGGAUCGUAAACCUCUUUUAUAAGGGAAUAAAGUGUGGGACGUGUCCUAUUUUGUAUGUACCUUAUGAAUAAGGAUCGGCUAACUCCGUGCCAGCAGCCGCGGUAAUACGGAGGAGCCGAGCGUUAUCCGGAUUUAUUGGGUUUAAAGGGUGCGUAGGCGGCCUUUUAAGUCCGCGGGGAAAGUCGGUGGCUCAACCAUAGAAUUGCCGUUGAAACUGGGGGGGUAGAGUAUGUUUGAGGCAGGCGGAAUGCGUGGUGUAGCGGUGAAAUGCGUAGAUAUCACGCAGAACCCCGAGUGCGAAGGCAGCCUGCCAAGCCAUGACUGACGCUGAUGCACGAAAGCGUGGGGAUCAAACAGGAUUAGAUACCCUAGUAGUC